AGGUAGAAAUAAAACACUUCCCAAAAGCACAGACACAACACCAGUACUACUACCAGGUUCAGAUUCUUCGUCAGUGUUCUUCAUCCUGAAUGUGGCGUUCAGUUCAGCGACUCUAAUUCUUUUUUGUGUCCUGAUCUUCCUCACACUGAUGUACAGAACAACACACAAAGUUGACAAUCCUGAAGCCACAAAUACGUCAAACCUGGUUCAAACUAAUAGGAAGCCAACAGUGACUCAAGUAACAUCUUGUUACAACCGAGGCAUGCAGAAGUGCUUCUCUGAACACACAAUACGUCGACCCUUGAAGCAUAUGGACUACAGCAGCAGAAGACCACACCAGCUAAGAGCAGAAAAAAAUGGUAACGGAGGAUACAAUUCAGAGGGACUCACUAAAAUUGGACAAUAAACAAUGGGAUAAUGUUGAUUUUAUUCGGAUGAGUCUUGAUUUCUGCUGUGAGAUUCAGAUGGCCGGGCCAGAAUUUGUCAUGAACAACAUGAAAGCGUGGAUCCAUCCUGCCUUGUAUCAGCAGUUCAGGCUGGUGGUGUAACGCUGGGGAGGUUUUUUUGGCACACUUUCCCAACCAUUGAGCAUGGUUUAAAUGCCACAGCCAACCUGAGUAUUGUUUCUGGCCGUGUUUAUCCCCUUAAAAGCACAGAAUACCGUGCCAUGUCACAAAGCUAACAUCAUCUCAAACUUGUUUCUUGAACAUGACAGUGAGGUCACUGUAUGAUGGUGGAAUGGGAGAUUCGCAUCAUUGAUGUGCAGCAACUGCGUAAAGCUCUCAUUCCAAUUUGGAACAAAUUUUAAAGGAAUGUUACCAGCACCAUGUUAAAUCUAGGUCAUGAAGAAUUAAGGCAGAUCUGAAGGCAAAAGUGGUCCAACCCAGUACUAGUAAGGUGUACCCAAUGAACUGGCCAGUUUGUUUUGUAUCAGAAAUUAGCUUUUGUGCUAUUGUAUGGUGCUCUUGUAACAUGAUACAUUAUUUUAUUUAUUUUGGAGUUUUGGAGUGUAGCAAAAUUUUUUACAUGGGCUAGAGUUACAGUAGAAUGUACGAGAAUUACACUUUGGAUUUCAGCAUUUAUAGACAGAUUGUUAUGAUUACAGAAUGUACCCUUCUGCUGUAGUAAAACCGCAUUAAUUUUAUAUUGAUCUUAGACCACUCCUUUCAAUAAUAUUUUUACAUUUCAUACAUUAAAUCAAAAUGUUAAGUGGAAUGGACAUUUUAGGCAUUUUUGUGUCAGAUGGUGACAAACUCUUUAUCCGUCAACGACAAGAAACUAAAGGACAAAGUGUUUCUUUAUGUCUGCUGAAUUUGAAUGUCAGAUUCUUAAAUCCCAACUUAGAAUUCCUCUUCAGAAGUAGUGAUGUGGUGAUAAGUAUGUUUUUACCUUUAUGCAGUGAGUGUAACAAAAGAUUUUUAAUGCUGUGUGUAAAAGACAUAGCUUUUCUGAACAGACAAAUCACAUGUAGCUAAAAGCCCGGGGCCCUGACUGGAUGAACACAGAAUGUUUAGCUACAGGAAGUGAAAUUUUCCUCAGUGCAGUUAUUUUACUGAACAAUGAAAAUGAGAACACUUAGUGCCAGUUUGACUUGAACACCCUUUUUGUGAAAAGUAUAUUUACACAACAUGAUCUAGUGAAAUACUUUAUUAAUUAUAAAUUAUGUCAACA